rnacentral:rRNA from 1 species
UGAGUAACCUGCCCUUAACUCUGGGAUAAGCCUGGGAAACUGGGUCUAAUACCGGAUAUGACUCCUCAUCGCAUGGUGGGGGGUGGAAAGCUUUUUGUGGUUUUGGAUGGACUCGCGGCCUAUCAGCUUGCUGGUGAGGUAAUGGCUUACCAAGGCGACGACGGGUAGCCGGCCUGAGAGGGUGACCGGCCACACUGGGACUGAGACACGGCCCAGACUCCUACGGGAGGCAG